rnacentral:rRNA from 1 species
CCAGGACGCCAGUUUUGGCGGAGCCAUCCUUGGGAUACCACCCUUGUAGUACUGGGACUCUAACCAUAGGCCAUGAAUCUGGUCUUGGGACACUGUCAGGCGGGCAGUUUGACUGGGGCGGUCGCCUCCCAAAAGGCAACGGAGGCGCUCAAAGGUUCUCUCAGUACGGUCGGAAAUCGUACGUAGAGUGUAAAGGCAAAAGA